UAAUUUAGUUAGCCCUCGGCAACAAUAAGGGUGCGUUUUCACCGGAGAUGAGCUAAGCUUCGUUGCGAGGAAUGUGUUUUACAAGAACCAAUAGAAUCGUU